rnacentral:rRNA from 1 species
CUAACAUGUGCGCGAGUCAAUGGGAAUCACUCGAGACCCACAGGCGCAAUGAAAGUGAAGGUGGUUUGGCUUGUCCCCACCGAGGCGGGAUCCGUUUAACAAGUUUUUUCCCGUUCAAUUGUUUUUYCCCCUCYYNSGGGGGGUKGSVARSSGGGUUGGCUUGGCGGCGCACCGUCGGCCCGUCGCAAACGCAACGCCGUUGCGGCGGAGCAAGAGCGUACACGUUGGGACCCGAAAGAUGGUGAUCUAUGCCCGGGCAGGACGAAGCCAGAGGAAACUCUGGUGGAGGUCCGUAGCGAUUCUGACGUGCAAAUCGAUCGUCGGACCUGGGUAUAGGGGCGAAAGACUAAUCGAACCGUCUAGUAGCUGGUUCCYUCCGAAGUUUCCCUCAGGAUAGCUGGCGCUCGGAAUGGAACGCAGUCUCAUCCGGUAAAGCGAAUGAUUAGAGGCCUUGGGGCCGAAACGACCUCAACCUAUUCUCAAACUUUAAAUGGGUGAGAAGUCCGGCUUGCUCGACUACUGAAGCCCGGACGUUAAAGGAUGCGAGUGCCAAGUGGGCCACUUUUGGUAAGCAGAACUGGCGCUGUGGGAUGAACCAAACGCCGGGUUAAGGCGCCUAAUGCGGACGCUCAUCAGACCCCAUGAAAGGUGUUGGUUGCUAUAGACAGCAGGACGGUGGCCAUGGAAGUCGGAAUCCGCUAAGGAGUGUGUAACAACUCACCUGCCGAAGCAACUAGCCCUGAAAAUGGAUGGCGCUCUAGCGUCGAGCCUAUACCCGGCCGUCGGAGCAAGCUGCGGUACUUUUGCAAAAGAGAGUUUCGUACCAAUGCUCCGACGAGUAGGAGGGUCGCGGUGGUGAGCGUUGAAGGUUAGGGCGUGAGCCCGACUGGAGCCGCCACCGGUGCAGAUCUUGGUGGUAGUAGCAAAUACACGAGUGAGAACCUUGUGGACUGAAGUGGAGAAGGGUUUCGUGUGAACAGCAGUUGAACACGAGUCAGUCGGUCCUAAUGAAUAGGGGAAACCCGUUCCGAACCGGGGG